AACGAACGCUGGCGGCGUGUCUUAAGCAUGCAAGUCGAGCGGCAAGGAAGUGCUUGCACUUCCCCAGAGCGGCGGACUGGUGAGUAACGCGUGGGUGAUCUACCUCGGGGUUGGGGAUAGCCAUUAGAAAUAGUGGGUAAUACCGAAUACGCUUCCAGGGCUACGGCCGUGGAAGGAAAGGCGCUACGGCGCCGACCUGAGAUGAGCCCGCGUCCCAUUAGCUAGUUGGUGAGGUAACGGCCCACCAAGGCGAUGAUGGGUAGGCGGCCUGAGAGGGUGUACGCCCACAUUGGGACUGAGAUACGGCCCAAACUCCUACGGGAGGCAGCAGCUAAGAAUAUUCCGCAAUGGACGAAAGUCUGACGGAGCGACGCCGCGUGGAUGAUGAAGGCCGGAAGGUUGUAAAAUCCUUUUGUCGGGGAAGAAUAAGCGUGGGAGGGAAUGCCCGCGUGAUGACAUGAACCGGCGAAUAAGCCCCGGCUAACUACGUGCCAGCAGCCGCGGUAAU
rnacentral:rRNA from 1 species